GCCAGCAGGAUAGCUCACUUGGUACAGCAUGAAACUCUUAAUGCCAGGGUCGUGGGUUCGAGCCCCAUGUUGGAUCA